rnacentral:rRNA from 1 species
AUUCGCCCGCUGCGCGCGGCGGGCGGGGCGGGGGCACGGGGGGCCUACGGGAGGCAGCAGUCGAGAAUUUUUCUCAAUGGGGGCAACCCUGAAGGAGCGACGCCGCGUGGAGGAUGAAGGCUUUCGGGUUGUAAACUCCUGUCAUUUGAGAACAAUGGCUACGCGUUAACUGCGCGGAGCUUGAUAGUAUCAGAAGAGGAAGGGACGGCUAACUCUGUGCCAGCAGCCGC